CUCAGCCUCCCAAAGUGCUGGGAUUAGAGGCGUGAUCUUCCGCGCCCAGCCCAGAUCAGGUUCUUAAACUCCACAUCAUCACCGCUUCUCAGCCUUUUGGCUAAGACCAAGUGUUUUCAGCCUUUUGGCUAAGAUCAUCUGUUCUUAUGGGUUUAAACUCCAUGUCAAUGACUAUAUUUUGAAAGUAAAUAUCUUAUUUGUAUUUUCAUUUAAUAUCUGUAAACACAGCAGCAUAUAAGCUAAAAGAGGUCAAUAUGUCAGCCAGUGUCCCAUCAGGAGAGAUUAGUCCUUCAAAUUGGGUACUUUGGGCCUGAUGCAGUGACUCAUGCCUGUAACCCCAACAUUUUGGGAGGCCGAGG
rnacentral:lncRNA from 1 species